GUCUACGGCCAUACCACCCUGAACGCACCUGAUCUCAGAAGCUAAGCAGGGUCGGGCCUGGUUAGUACUUGGAUGGGAGACGAAGAGCUAUUCGUGGAAGAGAAUACCCACCACGUGGCUGUUUGUU
rfam:Mustela putorius furo unplaced genomic scaffold scaffold00061, whole genome shotgun sequence.